AGCUUCGGCCAAGUGUGGUGGCAGCCGACGCGGCAAAAGCAGCUGCAGUGGCGAGC
rnacentral:rRNA from 1 species